rnacentral:rRNA from 1 species
AGCAGUCGCCGCGGUAAUACGUAGGUGGCAAGCGUUGUCCGGAUUUAUUGGGCGUAAAGCGAGCGCAGGCGGUCAAUUAAGUCUGAUGUGAAAGCCCCCGGCUCAACCGGGGAGGGUCAUUGGAAACUGGGAAACUUGAGUGCAGAAGAGGAGAGUGGAAUUCCACGUGUAGCGGUGAAAUGCGUAGAGAUGUGGAGGAACACCAGUGGCGAAGGCGACUCUCUGGUCUGUAACUGACGCUGAGGAGCGAAAGCGUGGUGAGCGAACAGGAUUAGAUACCCCCGUAGUCCCUGUCUUUAUACA